AGAGUUUGAUCCUGGCUCAGAUUGAACGCUGGCGGCGUGCCUAACACAUGCAAGUCGAGCGCGAAAGGGAGCAAUCCCGAGUAGAGCGGCGGACGGGUGAGUAACGCGUAGGAAUCUACCUAGUAGUGGGGGACAACCCGGCGAAAGCCGGGCUAAUACCGCAUACAACCCACGGGUAAAAGCAGGGGAUCGUAAGACCUUGCGCUAUUAGAUGAGCCUGCGUCCGAUUAGCUAGUUGGUGAGGUAACGGCUCACCAAGGCAACGAUCGGUAACUGGUUUGAGAGAACGACCAGUCACAUUGGGACUGAGACACGGCCCAAACUCCUACGGGAGGCAGCAGUGGGGAAUAUUGGACAAUGGGGGCAACCCUGAUCCAGCGACGCCGCGUGUGUGAAGAAGGCCUUCGGGUUGUAAAGCACUUUCGGCAGGGACAAAUCAAAGUGGAGCUAACAUCUCCGCUCCUGAUGGUACCUGAAGAAGAAGCACCGGCUAACUCUGUGCCAGCAGCCGCGGUAAUACAGAGGGUGCAAGCGUUAAUCGGAAUUACUGGGCGUAAAGCGAGUGUAGGUGGUUUGCUAAGUCAGGUGUGAAAUCCCAGGGCUCAACCCUGGAACUGCAUUUGAUACUGGCAGGCUAGAGUGUAGAAGAGGAUAGUGGAAUUCCCGGUGUAGCGGUGAAAUGCGUAGAUAUCGGGAGGAACAUCAGUGGCGAAGGCGGGUAUCUGGUCUAACACUGACACUGAGACUCGAAAGCGUGGGAAGCAACGGGAUUAGAUACCCUGGGAGUCCACGCUUAACGAUGAUACUAGUGGCGGGGAGUUAAUUCUUGUGACCCGGUACGCAUAGUAUCCGCUGGGAGUAGGCCGCAAGUUAACUCAAGGAUGACGGGGCCGAAACCGUGAGCUGUGACAUCAUGCAGGAAACUUACUACUUAUUUAGAACUUGCGAUUCGAGGUCUGGACCUAAAGGUUAUGUGGAAGCGUCGAAUGGUAACCAAGAGACUCUCUAGCCUAGGGCUAGACGGAACCGGGGGAAACCCCGUGGGACGCAAGGAGGACGGGACA
rnacentral:rRNA from 1 species